UCUUAUGUAACUCGGAGACUGACGAAA
rnacentral:piRNA from 1 species